GUCUCUGUAGUAUAGGGGUUAGUAUUCUCGCUUGUGGCGCGAGUGACACCGGUUCGAAUCCGGUCGGGGACA